AAAUGCGAUAACUAGUGUGAAUUGCAGAAUUCCGUGAAUCAUCGAGUCUUUGAACGCACAUUGCGCCCCCUGGUAUUCCGGGGGGCAUGCCUGUCCGAGCGUCAUUGCUGCCCAUCAAGCACGGCUUGUGUGUUGGGUCGUCGUCCCCUCUCCGGGGGGGACGGGCCCCAAAGGCAGCGGCGGCACCGCGUCCGAUCCUCGAGCGUAUGGGGCUUUGUCACCCGCUCUGUAGGCCCGGCCGGCGCUUGCCGAACGCAAAUCAAUCUUUUUCCAGGUUGACCUCGUAUCAGGUAGGGAUACCCGCUGAACUUAAGC
rnacentral:misc_RNA from 1 species